CUGGCGGGAGCGGGUGGUCCGGCACUUUGUGUUGGUACUUUCCUGUCUCUUGCCAUCCUUGGGUCUAAGCUGUCUGGCAUUUAGUUGUCGGGCAGUGGCUGCCCAUCGUUUACUGUGAAAAAAUUAGAGUGUUCAAAGCAGGCUUAUGCCGUUGAAUAUAUUAGCAUGGAAUAAUAAGAUAGGACCUUGGUACUAUUUUGUUGGUUUGCGCACCGAGGUAAUGAUUAAGAGGGACAGUUGGGGGUAUUCGUAUUCAAUUGUCAGAGGUGAAAUUCUUGGAUUUCUGGAAGACGAACUACUGCGAAAGCAUUUACCAAGGAUGUUUUCAUUAAUCAAGAACGAAAGUUAGGGGAUCGAAGAUGAUUAGAUACCAUCGUAGUCUUAACCAUAAACUAUGCCGACUAGGGAUUUGUGGGUGUUAUUUGUGACCCCAUGAGCACCUUAUGAGAAAUCAAAGUCUUUGGGUUCC
rnacentral:rRNA from 1 species